UUUGGUAUCUGAUCUUUUGGCUAAGAUCUAGGGUAGUAUCAAUUUUUAUCAGUUUAAUAUCGGAUAUGUGGACCAUGUGUCUACUUUAAUAUUAAAUUUAUUUUUUGUAGGGAGAGUCCACCAUGGUAGCUUGCCACUGGAUCCUCGUGUGACGCCUAACCGUUGCACUGCUGGUAAGAUCUGACCUACCCUAA
rfam:Zea mays cultivar B73 chromosome 3, whole genome shotgun sequence.